rnacentral:sRNA from 1 species
AAAUCCAUUUAGGUUUUCUUUGACUAAAGUCAUUCUUCUCCAUCAGUAGUGCCUCUAUUCUGGUUUCUGCUUCUUCGGUGCUUCAAUCAGUGCUUCCAUCGUUGGUGCCGCUCCCAAUCUCGUCUCUCGUUUGUGAGUUUGAGUGGUUGUGGAGUUGAGGGUUGUGGUCUCUGGUUUACGUUUCGACUUGUGUCGCUUCAGUGGUGUAUGACUUUGAGGAGAAGCAUGGACAUGGAGCAUAUAAAUACAUGUUUUGAUGAUAUCAAAUUUCAUGAAGAACAUGACAAUGUAGAAGAAGAAUUAAAGAGUAGUAAUACAUUGACACGCCUAUGUGUCAUUAAAGAGUAGUAAUACAUUGACACGC